CCCAGACUCCUACGGGAGGCAGCAGUGGGGGAUAUUGCACAAUGGGGGAAACCCUGAUGCAGCGACGCCGCGUGAGGGAAGACGGCCUUCGGGUUGUAAACCUCUGUCGCAGGGGACGAAGGAAGUGACGGUACCCUGUGAGGAAGCCACGGCUAACUACGUGCCAGCAGCCGCGGUAAUACGUAGGUGGCGAGCGUUGUCCGGAAUUACUGGGUGUAAAGGGAGCGUAGGCGGGAGUGCAAGUUGAAUGUAUAAACUACCGGCUUAACCGGUAGAAGCGUUCAAAACUGCACUUCUUGAGUGAAGUAGAGGCAGGCGGAAUUCCUAGUGUAGCGGUGAAAUCCGUAGAUAUCUGGAGGAACAUCAGUGGCGAAGGCGACUAUCUGGCACAUAACUGACGCUGAGGAGCGAAAGCGUGGGUAGCAAACAGGAUUAGAUACCCUAGUAAA
rnacentral:rRNA from 1 species